UUCUGGGCACUCCUGAUUUGGCCUUUUCAUCAUCUUCUCAUAAUUUUUCUAUAAUAUAUAUUAUACAGUCUCAACAUUAUUUUAACUUUUCACCCUCAUAAAUAACUCAUGUGUCCAAAUUCAGAGUAUGAGUGAGUGUUGUACUCACUCACUUAUUAGGAGUCUUGAAUACUUUUCUAAACAUUUGAAAAAUACGUUUUAUUAUUUCUAAAUUCUGACAUCCUUUUCUGUUCUAUCACAUUGCAAAAUGUGCAUAAGAUCCUAAGUCUCUACUUUGCUACCAUGAUCCAGACAUACUGGAUUAACUCUGAAAAUUUGCAGGGGUCUGGGUCAGUAAUAGGCUGUAACUGGCCUGGCAUAACAUAUUUUGACUUAAUUUUUAGCCAUUUGUGGCUCAUAGCCUUUGUAGGCUGAGAGAUAGAUGAAGAAACAAAAUGAAUUUUGUCAUUGGUAAAUUUAAUUUCAAACUUAACAAUGACACUUAAAUAAUGGAGUGAUUUUGCCUAUACUGAAAGUGUCACUUGGGGAUUAAGUGAGGUUAGGUAGAAGAGUAGAUUGGUAAUAGUAUUUGGAAGAAAUGUCCAAAGAGAGUCACACAAAAGAGAUUGUAUCAAAUUUUCAGUAAAAUAUCAAGACUACUAGGUUGUUACCAGCCCUGAUAUUGUUGCUGAGAGAAUUUGAUUAUAACUCCUCUACAUAUUAAAUAAGUACUCUAAAGUAUAUAUUGUAGGAUAGACACUAAGCAACUUGUCAAAUGUCUGGAAUGUUGCUUUUUAAAACAUGUUCAGUAAAAUAUUAGCUUACUAGGAUGUUGGUAUUCUCAAAAGAAAAUCUGAUAAAUACUUGAAAAAAAUAGCAACAUUGCAAAAGUAAGCAGAUGUCUUUAUGACAGGACUUAAAGGGGAAGUUUACAUUUUCUCAUGAAUGAGGUUUCCCUAGAGAGAAAUACCAUAUGCAAUGCCUGCAACAGUUAUAUGUAAAUUUAUAAUUAGUAUUCCAUUCUACCUACAUGGCAUCUUUACAUAUUUGGUGAUGUGUUUUCUUUUUCCCUGUUUAGAGACUUGAACAGAGCCAUGAUAAUUGGUAACUCUGAGAUGAAGACACUUCUCUUGGCAUAUAAAGAAAGCCAAAAUUCAGAAAACACAGAUAAAAACAUUUUGUAUAAUAGUAAAAAUUCCAAACAAACACUGUAAUAAAAUACUGAAUUUCUCCUAGAUCAUAUGUGGCUCAGGUUAGAAACCUAUGCCCCAGGAAAGUGGCUUGCUUAUCCCUUUUGGUGGCUGCCACUGAAAUCUCUGAAUCAGAUUAGAUGUAGGUGGGAUAAUGAGUGAGAUAACUGAUCCCUCUCUGUUGUUCUUUUCAUCUUAACCAGUGUUAGAACUUCCCCUUCCUUCCUAGUAGUGUUUUCAGAGUUCUUCCCAUUCCAGGGGCCAUUGACAGGGAACACAGUCCUUUUUAUCACCAGGCCUGUUUUUUUCUUUUUUCCCCCAAUAAUGUUCCCUCCAUGCUUUCUGAUUCAUCCAGCCAAGGCUUCCUUAUCUAUUUGAUAUCCAUGUACAGGAAAAAAUCAUCUACCUCUCCUGAAUGUCUCCAACCUGCUCCAGGGUGGAGUUCCCAAGCCUCUCUGCCCCUAUAGAUCACAAGUAACUGGUAUUCUGGGUCUGCUACCAGAAAGGGUAGUCAUUUUUGUCUCCCAGGCUAUACUAACUGGUUCUAGAAUCCCUGAGAAGUUUUUCAUAAGAGAAAUUAAAUU
rnacentral:lncRNA from 1 species